rnacentral:rRNA from 1 species
UACGUAGGGUGCAAGCGUUGUCCGGAAUUAUUGGGCGUAAAGAGUUCGUAGGCGGUUUGUCGCGUCCGUUGUGAAAGCUUGGGGCUCAACCCCAAGUCUGCAGUGGAUACGGGCAGACUAGAGUCAGGUAGGGGAGAACGGAAUUCCAGGUGUAGCGGUGAAAUGCGUAGAUAUCUGGAGGAACACCGGUGGCGAAGGCGGCAUCCUGGACCGGCAUUGACGCUGAGGCGCGAAAGCUAGGGGAGCAAACGGG